UACGUAGGGUGCAAGCGUUGUCCGGAAUUAUUGGGCGUAAAGAGCUCGUAGGCGGUUUGUCGCGUCUGCUGUGAAAACGCGAGGCUCAACCUCGCGCCUGCAGUGGGUACGGGCAGACUAGAGUGCGGUAGGGGAGAUUGGAAUUCCUGGUGUAGCGGUGGAAUGCGCAGAUAUCAGGAGGAACACCGAUGGCGAAGGCAGAUCUCUGGGCCGUAACUGACGCUGAGGAGCGAAAGCGUGAGGAGCGAACAGG
rnacentral:rRNA from 1 species